AGGAAAAGAAACUAACAAGGAUUCCCCCUAGUAACUGCGAGUGAAGCGGGAAAAGCUCAAAUUUAAAAUCUGGCGGUCUUUGGCCGUCCGAGUUGUAAUCUAGAGAAGUAAUGCCCGUGCUGGACCGUGUAUAAGUCUCCUGGGAUGGGGCGUCAUAGAGGGUGAGAAUCCCGUCUUUGACACGGACUACCAGUGCAUUGUGGUAUGCUCUCAAAGAGUCGAGUUGUUUGGGAAUGCAGCUCAAAAUGGGUGGUAAAUUCCAUCUAAAGCUAAAUAUUGGCGAGAGACCGAUAGCGAACAAGUACCGUGAGGGAAAGAUGAAAAGAACUUUGGAAAGAGAGUUAAACAGUACGUGAAAUUGCUGAAAGGGAAACGCUUGAAGUCAGUCGCGUUGGCCGGGGAUCAGCCUUGCUUUUGCAUGGUGUACUUUCUGGUUGACGGGUCAGCAUCAAUUUUGACCGCUGGAAAAAGACCUGGGGAAUGUGGCAGCUUCGGCUGUGUUAUAGCCCCUAGUCGCAUACAGUGGUUGGGAUUGAGGAACUCAGCACGCCGCAAGGCCGGGUUUCGACCACGUUCGUGCUUAGGAUGCUGGCAUAAUGGCUUUAAGCGACCCGUCUUGAAACACGGACCAAGGAGUCUAACAUGCCUGCGAGUAUUUGGGUGGAAAACCCAAGUGCGUAAUGAAAGUGAAAGUUGAGAUCCCUGUCGUGGGGAGCAUCGACGCCCGGACCAGAACUUUUGGGACGGAUCCGCGGUGGAGCAUGUAUGUUGGGACCCGAAAGAUGGUGAACUAUGCCUGAAUAGGGUGAAGCCAGAGGAAACUCUGGUGGAGGCUCGUAGCGAUUCUGACGUGCAAAUCGAUCGUCAAAUUUGGGUAUAGGGGCGAAAGACU
rnacentral:rRNA from 1 species